CCUGAUGCAGCCAUGCCGCGUGUGUGAAGAAGGCCUUCGGGUUGUAAAGCACUUUCAGCGGGGAGGAAGGGGUUUAGGUUAAUACCUUGCUGUUUUGACGUUACCCGCAGAAUAAGCACCGGCUAACUCCGUGCCAGCAGCCGCGGUAAUACGGAGGGUGCAAGCGUUAAUCGGAAUUACUGGGCGUAAAGCGCGCGCAGGUGGUUUGUUAAGUCGGAUGUGAAAUCCCCGGGCUCAACCUGGGAACUGCAUUCGAAACUGGCAAGCUAGAGUCUGGUAGAGGGGGGUNGAAUUUCAGGUGUAGCGGUGAAAUGCGUAGAGAUCNGGAGGAANACCGGUGGCGAAGGCGGCCCCCUGGACUGAGACUGACGCUCAGGUGCGAAAGCGUGGGGAGCAAACAGGAUUAGAUACCCCCGUAGUCCGG
rnacentral:rRNA from 1 species